GUCAGUGACAGUUGUUUUUAUUCUCUCCCUUUUAGAGCAGAUAAAAGUAGAAUCAUCAGCCACAACGGUAACAUAUGUGGAUUCAUUUCCCAAUGUGACUGUUCCCUGAUAGGCCUUCUGGUUUGGAAGUAAAGAGAAGGCUGAAGGGGAAGUAAGAUAUGUGAGAACUUCUUCAGGCAAGGUUGAAGCAGAAGAUGAGGAUGUAACAAACAGCAACAUGCCUUAGUUCCAGAAAACCUGUGAAUGUUUUCCCACAACCCUACAUCUGUAUCACUGGAGUUUUGUUUUGUAAUGAUGUUGUUGC